CGAGACAGCAGAGCAGGGUCAACUAGUGUCUAGGGGAUGUGACUGAGGGGAGCUGACCUCAUUGGACAGGAUGAGAAUGGAGUUGGCUUUCCUCCAACCCUGGGUGAGCUAGAUGGCCAGAAGGAAAGCAUCCUUCAGAAAUGGGAACGGGGAAGAACCCUCAUGGACCAAAAGAAGGUUGAAUUGGGGGAUGGACUUGCUGAUAUGAAAUUCCCAGGUUCUGAGAAACACUUGGCCCAGUUGUCCAAACUUCUGGAUUUGCUGUUUUGGGUGACCUUAAGAUUUGACUCUAGGGUUGACGGGAUCUUCGAAGAUGCCCUUGGUUCCUGAUCUUCUUAAUGACCAGGAGGAAAACAGGGCAGCCUGGAGAGGCCAGUGAAGGAAGAAGAGAGGAAAUGACAGAGCACACUUUGGGGGAUGACAGAAGUCUACAGAUGAAAAUAAUCACACCUUGGGGAUCUCGGAGGAUCAGUAAACACUGCCCAUUACUCACCAGUUGUAAGAUCUCCCAGCACUAAUCCACCUUGGCAGCCAGAAGGACAUUACCAAAUGACUACACUGCCUGCU
rnacentral:lncRNA from 1 species